AUAAUACCAUAUAUAAUGCCAACUUUUUGACAGAACGGAUGUUUGGAAUGGAAGUUCAAAUAGCGACCAGAAAAGUCUCAAUUGUAAAUUUCAAUCUGUGGUGAUAAGAAUUGAAAGCAUCAACGACGAGGCNCACACUCCCACCAGNCGCCGCUAGAAAGAUGUCAUCGACGUAGCGAUAAUAAAAAGGCAGUACGAUGUUCAAACUAUUGAGACAAUGCUCCUCAAGGUCCUGAAGAACAAUGUCAGCAAUAAUCGGUGAGAGAGGUGACCCCAUCGGAGUGCCAAAAGUCUGCUGAUAUGUGGCACCAUUGAAAGUGAAAUAAGUAGAUGUCAAGACAAAUUCCAAGGCACNGAUAAAAGGAUCAAGAGUAUCAAAAAACGAAACUUAACCCAUAUAGUAGAAGAAUAUUUUGAAAAAUCUAUAAAACAUAAAGAGGAAAAAGAGAAGAAUACUCAGAGAAGACAUGAAGA